AGUCCUCCGUCUAGCAUUGAUUGAGGUUUGCUGAAAGUCUCAUAGAACAAAAAAGGAGGUUAAACAUAUUGAAAAGAUAUAGUUGUUCUCUUUUCAUAAAUUCACCUCCAACAUGACUGAGCGCAGAAUUUUCCAACCAUAAAAUCCAAGAGUCUAGGUAGGAUAACAAGUGUGAAAGUAACUACUUACAUGGAAUUUACCGUUUUAUUUUGUUUUGUGCGCUUUUAAUUUACCUUAUAAAACUAUCCUUUGAUCACCAUUUUGUACUUGCCUAGACUUUUAUACUUAAUAAACCUGUAUUUUUGGGGUGGGGAAAAAAGGAGAAUGUAGAAAUCACACCUCAUUAUCCUGCAACUGGGCACCUCCAUCUUGGCUCCCUGUCAAUCAUUCUUAUAAGCUCUGUCCUUCUCGCUGUAUGAUUUAUAAAUGCUGACUACCAGAUGCACUUCAUUUGCAAUGGUUUCCCUUGCUUUGUCUUGUCUGAACUGUGUUGUGAUAUAAUUUGUUAGAUCUUUUGCAUAAAUUUUAGAAUAAAACCAAGCCCCUCAUCUAUAGGUGAUUUUAUUCUCACUACUUUGAUGCGCAUGCCUGUUUAAUCAUUCGUUUACUAAUAUUCCUCUGGGUAAUGUACAUUAAAGGAACACUUUAGUAACCCAGACCACUACAACUCAAUGAAGUGAUCUGGGUGCCAGGUCCCCCAGGUUUUAACCCUUCAGAUGUAAACCUAGCAUCCAGCCUCUAGUGGCUGUUUUCCUGAGCAUUAUCCCUAAGCCUUAUUUAGUGUCAGGAAAACGAGUUUGUUUUCCUGAUACUAUAGUGGUCAUUUAAAGCUUCACACAUUGAAUGAUAAUUCCAAAGCAAAAUGUGGUUACUAAAUAGCCAUACUUGAUUGAAUAAAACUUGGAAACCAGAUGACUUCACCAAUUAAUAAAUAUUAAUAAAAUAUGACAGAUGAUGGUUGACUAUUCCUAGAUAAUCAAUUGAAUCCUGUGUUAACAUUGUAGUUUAAAUUAUCAAUAAAAAUGAUUCAUGCACCAAACAAGUAACUAUAGUUUCUUUAACUAGUACAGUGAAAAUUAUCGCUCCAUUGUAAUAUCAUAGAAAAGCAUAUAUACUUUGAUUACAAAGGGGUCCCAAAAAAUGUCAUCAGCUCAUAUCUUUGUACAACCGUAAACAUUUUGUAAUUUAUUCAAAACUAGUAUUUUUAUUAUGGAACUAAAACUGGUUUCUUAUGUCUUUUUUUGUUUCAGCUGAGCCACUGCCUUUAAUGGACUUAUGCCGGAGAUCUGUUCGUUUCGCCAUUGGCAGAGAUCGUUUGCACCAAAUUGAAUCCUUACCUUUGCCUCAGUCAUUGAAGAACUAUUUACAAUACCAGUGACCUGUUCCUGAUGUUGCUGUCAUCUGCUGGACAUCAUAAUUAUAAAAUUAAAUAAUGCAAAUCAUCAGAUAUUGUUUACAUGGAAAGAUACCCCCCUUGUGGUGGACACUUAAAUGUUUAUUUAAUUUUGAAUUCAUUUUUUCUGUUUUGUUUAUCUGAAUACUGUGCCACAGAACAUCACCGGAACUACCAAUAGUGGGAAAAAAUCUGGUCUGUUGUGGGUUUUUCUUUUGUUUUUAUUUUCUUAAAACCAAAGAAAACGUUACUUGCGCAUUAUCCUAAAAUCACAUCUAUGCACAUUUAAAUAACUGGGGGAUGUUUAGUAUCACUCCAAUGACCAUUAGAGUAAGCUCUUCUGCCACAUCAAGGCAAAACCUUUAAGGUGAGUCCUACACGAACAUUUGUUUAGGAAAAUUCCCCUCUCUGUCUCACUAGAGAUUUUACUUUUCAGCUUAAAGAAGCAAGGUGAAUUGUUAGUGUGAGCUCACCUGCCACCUCAAGGCAAAACCUUUUAGGUGAGUCCUAGCCUUGAAUGGCCAUUGGAGUGAGACUAAAAACCUCCAGUUACUUGAAUGUGUAUAGCGAUUUGGGAUAGUAUGCAAGUAACUUUUUUUUUCCUUUGGCAUAUAUGUAUUGGGGCUGAUGUAUACUAUAGUCAUUGCCACCCAGGAGUAGUGGGAGGGCUAGCGCAGGGCUUAAUUUUAAUUUUUUAUUUUUUUUAGCAUAAAAAAGCGGAUCCGAGAGUCCUGUCCAGCCUUAUAUUUCCAAGUUACAAACAUACAUAUGCCCAAGAACUGUUAAUGAGUCUUCUUCCAAUUUUAAAACGCACAUACAAGUAUAGUCCUUUGUGGACCUCUAAAACUCUAAUUCAAAGACCAAGCAGUGCUUUUAAACUAACAUGUUUGUCACAAUGUAACCAAAUGGAACACGUUGGCUUGUUUCCAUUAUUAUUUUAGUACAAUUUUCUAAACCACAAGGGAGUGCACACUAUAGUAUGAUUCAGUUCUAUACAUCUCCUGGCUCUGCUUUGUAUAGCACAUGACAGUCCAAAGGUUACAGUUCCACGGACAACAUUCAUCAGUCUGUGAUCCCCAGUACCAAAUAUGAAUUAAUUAAUAAUGUGAAAAUAUGUUGUGAUUAGUUUAAGACACAGCCCCAAAACAUCUAGAAUGCCAGUUUGUUUUAAACCUUAUUGGUGUACACUUCUCCAUUUUUAUUUUUAUUUUGUUUUUAUGAACUGGUCAUUCGUAGAUUUCACAAAAUUCAAGGAAAUAUAGAGCCUGUAGAAUAAUGUUACUUUCUAUUCAAAUACCUUCUUUUAAAUUCAUGAUAAAAAAAAAUAUAUAUGGAAGUGCAAUGCACCUUCAUUGACAGUGUCCUUUGCAUCUUGGUCCUGAAAUAUAAAAUUUAAUGCAUUUUUAUUCCAUUUUUAGAUUAUAAUCCAGUGUGCUUGAGUGCAGCAUACAACCUGGAUAUUUGCAAAAAAAAAAAAAUGCUACUGUGUAGAGUUUUUUCCCUAAUUCUGGUUUUGAUGGAAAUGAAGUGAUAACAUUUCAUGAAUAAACAUUUUUUUUUUUUUUUUUUUAGUUUUUUCCUAUGUAAGAAUUGACUUGCAAAAUGUUGUGCAGAGCAGCCAGUUUAGAAUUAAAGGGACACUCCACUGCCCAAAUAAAGAAAACACUGUUUAGCAGAUAUACCACAAAUGAAAGCAUUCAUUUUCUCAUUAGGGGUAUAUUUAAAAACAGCUUGCAAAAGCUACAGAUCUCUUGUCUGCAGCCUUUGCAAUCCCUCCCCUUUUUACCCCGCCCACACGUUCUGUGACUGCCUAAUCUGACUUCCUAAUGCAGCUCAGUGAACAAUUUUUGCAAGGCAGAUACUUUGGACAAUAGUCUGCCUCUUGAGUUUAGCUCCAUUAAACUCAAGCUAAACAACUAGGAAGUAAGAGGACCUGUUAUCUGACAGCCAGCGGGGCUGUGUAAUUUAUAAAAGUAUCCAUUUGUAUUGAAAUAUAACAUUUUUUGAUAACCUAAAAAAAGAGGGGACACUCUAUACACAUAAAGCCUUUCAGCAAGCUAUAGUGCUUUAGGGGUCCAAAGAGUCCAUUUAAGUAUCCAACUCUGUUAUCCUGGAAAUUUCCUCUCCCCUCCCACCUGCCCUCAGUUGUCAUGUUUGCUGCUCAGUUGUCAGCUGACAAUGAUGCAUACUAUAGAGAAUUAACAUCUGUGGUACUCCUAAAAGUAAAACUCCUCUACAGGUAAAUACAGGAUGAAAAUAAUAUGGGCUCUUCUGUGCCCGAGCUGGAUUGUUCAAUUUGGGGAAUAUUGCAGCCAACUUGGGUAUAGUAAUGUAAUAUACUAUAGUAAUAACAGGCAAAUUAUGGGGUAAACAAAAACUAUUCAACAAAUUAUUUUUCCCCAAGGUGUGUAACGGAGUGUUGCAUAUCUGUCAGUAUGUUAGAACACGCUUAGAUGUCCUCAAACAUGAGUUCCUAAAACAGCGUGCCUAUAAAAAUAUGCAUCUUAAGUCUAUAAAACAGUAUUUUUACUGUUACGUUACUACUUUUACAUGAGUCAUAUUGUUAGUUGGUACCAAACGCUGUAGGAGUGAAUUCAGCAUCUCUUAAUUAAAUAAAUUAAAUAGUCCAAUGUACACUUUUUUUUUUUUUUUUAAAUAAGGUUUAUCUCCUGUUUAUCCUAGAAUGUAUCUUCUUUUUCUGUAAUAUAACAGAGAAUUGGACUAUAUAGUUUAGCUCAAACUUGUUCUAAACAUAAGUGUCUGUCAAGUUGAGUCUCUUCUCGAAUGGUUUAUAUUCAUUCUGAAUAGGUAUACUUGUAGUUUUGUGGACAGAUGACUUUUUAACAAGUUUGAAAGCACAGUGCUUUUUAUUAUUCAAGUAACAGAACAGAGAAUUUAGCAAAAUUUAAGGAAUAUAAAGAUGGAUAUCAAAAACUGUAUUUUUCUGGGCACGAUUAGCCAUAUUAAUGCAUUCUUAGGUGACACAAUUGGGAAUGUGAAUCGACAGCCAACUUUUUAAACCGAUUGGUUGGAAAUUUAUUUCAAACUUCACUGGUUUGUCCCACAUUUUGCAAAUCUAUUCUCUGCUUAACGCAACCCACUUUUUAAUGUGUGAAAACCUUUUUAGGCGCAACAGUGGUGGAAGAGGCACUGUACAGUUAGCCAGCUCACUGGCAUAAGGGGUGUUACUUUUGUAGCAGGACUUGGAACCUGUAGCUGAGUGGCCCUCUGUUCUAUCAGAAAGAUUAAUAAUGUAUUCAGUAUUAACACUUGCUGGCUCAUAGUCCAUGAACAGCUCUCACAACAAUCCUCUUGCUUCCUGUUAUUCGGAAAAUGAACCAAAGCAGUUUUUUUUGUUUGUUUUUUUGUGAUGUAAUAAUGUAUCUUCAAAGUGCUCCAACUGAGGUUUUAGAUUAUUCAUUAUGGUGUGUUAGUUUUAUUUUGUUUAGUUUUGUGUUGGUUUUUGUAUUUUUUUUUCAUUUAUUUCCCUUUUUAAAAUCUGCAAAAGAUGAAUCGCUUGUCACUUUUUGAAAAAUAUUUUUAUUUUAUAUACACUUUAAUAUGCUGUUUUACUUUUUAAUGUAUAUAGGAUGAAUUGUUUUAUUUAUCUAACUGGUUAAUUGGUCCUCCAAAUCUUUGAGUGCAUAAGGGAAUAUGCCAUUUGCACAGUCCUGAUGCAUUCUAAAGGUUGCAAAAAAUAUUAAUUUGCCUUGGAAUGACUGCUCUGUUGUUUUUAUUUUAGCGCUCUUAUUUGUACAAAAAGUUCUGAAACAUGUUGUUGUUCAAUGAGGUUCAGGACUCUCCAGCAGAUAAGAUGUUAAAUAUGCUGCUUUUGCUGUUACCCUUUCACUUGUUGAAUACACUCCAUGCUUGUUUUACCCCUUUAAAUGCAGGAAGGAAGAGUAAAGGGAUUCACUGUUUGGUCUUCUGAAACUUUAGUCCAUUUAAAAAUUAGAUCUGCCUCCCUCAGAAAGCUCUGAAGACCCACAAAUGAUUGUCAUUUAAUAUGGACCUCUAAACACAGGAGGUCUUCUGCUGAUUAUACUCUUUUUAUUCUGUUUAUAAAACCUUUUUUUACAUUCUAAUUGAAAACUCAAAAACAUCUUAGCCAGCCAACUUACAUCCGGAAAAUAUUUACUGAAGCAGAGUUUCAUAAUUUUAUCAUUUCUUCCUAAAACUGAGUCUUGUUUGUUUCUCCUAAGGAGAUCAUUAAAGGAACAAAACACUGACUGAGUUAUGACCUAAAUAUAUAAAAUCUACAUGUAGUGUUUUGUCAUUCUGCCUUCCUGAACCCCAACAGAAGGCACUGUUGUUUAAAGACUCAGAGGGUUUUUGAGAUAUUUGGAAAAGAGGUCCCUUAAAUUGUGGUAGACACAUCCAAGGUUCUUUGACCUGUAGGACUUCAGUUCCUAUUGAACUCCGUAAACCAGUGGGUAAUGAGGGAUUAACAGCUGGAGAAAUGCAUUAUUACUAAAUGUUUAUGAAAAUUUGUUACAGAUGUGUUAGAAAACUGCAACGCACGUGCAGUGGAAUGUAAGCGGGAAUGUUUAGGAUUGAGGCUGGUGUAACCAUGAAAACAUACUUGGUUUAAUUACACAGUGUAGCGUGAUUGUUUCUAGUGGGUGACAAAAAAAUAUAUGCCCAAACUUGAAAUUAUUAUUGUGUUUAUUAAGUUUUAGAAAUUGGAAGUUGUGGAUAGUUUAAACCUUUCCAUGUGCCAGUGUGGACAUUUUGCAUGAAAAUGCAUUGAGCACACUUCCGGGAGUUAAAACAUUAAACAUGUCAUGAACAUUUCACUGUCCCUUCUAAUGUCUGGGACACAGCUUGCUUCAGGAUCAAGGUUACCAAAUGGAAUUCCACCACAGUAGGAGAUGGUUGAUCAGUGAUUGACGGUAACCUGUUUCCUGCAGUGCCUUACUGCAAGUCCAAACAAAUGGCAUCUACAGAGCUAAAAUUAGCUCAGGGUCAAAUAAAAUGGAUCAAUUGUGACCUAUGGCUGGGGUUCAUAUGACAAUGAGUGAAUGAAAUGACACUUUCUAAUAAAGUGUACUUCUGAAAAACCAAACGUG